GUCGCCACGCCAGUCGGAUCUCAACCGAACAGCCUUCUGUUGUUCCAGCUCUGGUCAGGGGCAGUGCUUCAGCGGAUUCGUGGAAAUUUGUGACAGCUCCACAAACAGUGACCGACGUAUUUUUUUUUUACUAGUGAAUGAAGUGAUGUACAACUUUAUUUUGAUCAGGAUUAAACAACCUUGGUUCUCAAAGAUGGCGAUUGGGUGAUAGAUGCACCAUUAAUGAGUCGAAGGAGAGAAUCUGCGUGGGAAAAGGUACAGUGUGUGGCUUAGUUUAUUGAAACGAAGCCAGACACCCAAGUUCUCAGAAAUUUCAUAACGAGGGACGCAGCAACUGCAGCAAGCGCCGCAAUAAGCUCCAGCAACGACAAAGGUUCCGUGAGCG